GUUGAAACACCAGUUCCCGUACGAUCACCGCGGUUAAACUGCGUUGAGUCUGGUCAAUACCAAGAUAGGUUACCAUUUGGGAAUACCAAGUGCUGUAUU